rnacentral:lncRNA from 1 species
AAAAAAAAAAAAAAAAAAAGUCGUGGCGCGGCCUUGGCGGGGUUGGAGGCGAGGAAGGUGGGGGGUGCGUGGACGAGGGCAAGGGCGAGGGCGAGGGCGAGGGCUAGAGAAUGAGGGUGAGAGGCGAGACGGACCGUUUCCGCCUCCGCUUUGCCGGCGAGAAAAAAAAAAGAACGAGAGAAACGAAGAGGAGAGAGAAAGAGUAAAGAGAAAAAGUAAAAAGGGUAUUUUGGUCAGUUUGCUGAAAAAGUGGACCGAAUCUGCAAAAACGAAAAAGGUGACCCGGUUUUACAAAAGCCCAAAAUAAGUAGAUUUUUUAUGCAAAUUGGCCUUAUUUUAAAUCUUAGUAUAAAAUAAAUAUUUCUCAAUUCCAAACUAAAGCCUCGAUAAACAAUAAAUAAUUCAGUCGCCAUUUCUCUCCUAUCAAUUCUCCCACUUUGCUAUAAAUGGACAGAGGGCAUUUUGGGAAUUUCGCGUCUUUCAUUUCCCUUCGAGGUAAAACAUAAGGGCAACAUUCACAACAUUACAAAGAGAGAGAUAGAGCUCCAAUCAUUUUGUUUAGAGAGAGAAAAGGAGAGCGAUUUAAAGAGAAACGUGUAUGAUUCGGGAUCUACACUGGUCGAUUGGUGUGGCUUCAGGUGAGAGAUUCUUAUCUUCUUUCCCUACUUUUUCAAUUUUUUGCAUAGAUUUUCUCCUUUUUUUUUUCUUUUUUUUCUUUUUUCCCUUUUUUGAGCCAUUUGGUGUAAGGGUGUUAAUGGACUCAUCAUCUUAUUCAAAAUGAUGCAAAUUACGGGUUACAAAUUGUUUUUUUUUCCUUAAAAUUUAGUAGGGUUUGAUAAGAGAAAAUGUUUGAUUUUUUUCCUUUUUAAGUCCACUUAUGUCAAAAUUAUUUAGGAGGGAAACUGAAAAAUUUUGGUAAAAAAAAUGUAUGAAGUACCCCUAAAUUUCUUUUUUUUUUUUUUUUUUUUUUUUUUGGUGAUUUGAGCUAUUUUAGGUAGUUAAAUUUGAGAGUUUGUUAAAGCUGAUAACUUCAUAAGCUAUUCGUCAUUUAUAGUCAUAAAUUGUUGUGGAUUUAUUUCCUAUAAAGUGAUUAGAGCUAUUAAAAUUAACUGAAUCACUGUUGGAUUUAGUAAAAUCCCCUGUUUUCUUUGGCUUAAAUCACUCAAUUCAGAAUAUUAGCCCGUAGUUGAGAGAUUUUUUGAACAUUUAGUAAAAUCCCAUGUUUUCCAUUUGUGAGUUUCAAUUGAAGAAGAAUAAAGCUAUGGAGCCAUAGCUUUAAUUUUGCUUCAUCGUGUCUCUUUCCUACUCAUGAUUACGAGGAGUAAUGAAUUUUAGAUAGGUCAAUCAACGAAGUUCUAGUGCAACGAAUCCGGCGUAAACCCUCUAGAAGUUCUAGGACAUUCAUAGUUAUGUUACUCUCUUUUUUUUUGAGAGAAAAUUGUUAUGUUACUCUUCAUAGUUAUGUUACUCUCUUUUUUUUUGAGAGAAAAUUGUUAUGUUACUCUUCAAGUGUUAAUUUGGAGAAGUAUGCUCUUGUUGACGAGCAUUAUACAUGUGCAUACUUCCUUCUGUAAGUAAUUCUCUGUAAGAGUUGCAGUUUUCUGAGAAUGAAUUCUUUCCAGUGUUUAACAUGCAAAAUGAUAUUAGAAAAGUUCCCAUGUUACUGCCUCAUUAGCCAUAAUUCCUUAACUCACUUCAGACCAUCUCUUUAAGCAAAUGUUCAUCUCGUGAUAUUUAUACAAGUACAUUAUGCAGGCUUAAGACGGAUCACAUUCUUCGGUAUCGAGUUUAUUGAAUCAGUUAACGACCAUGAACAGCCACAGCAUUGUUACGGUUAAACAAAGCAACUCUCCAGAGAGAACUGCACACUAUUGUCAAGCUGCACCUUCUAAAAUAAGCAAAAUUUUCAAAGGCCAACAAGACCACCAAAGUCUAUCAGGCAAUAAUUCGUCAUCCUCAGGCGAAUUUUCCUACCUUCUUAACCCGAAAUUAAGCCCUGAAUCUGAUUCGGAAAGUCCGAUCUCACACGUAUCACUUCCCCACUAUUCGGAACCCAUAUUUUCUCGCUCGUCUAUGUUCUGUACCAGUCUAUUCUCAUCAUCCUCGAAGAGCUCGGACUCCUGCAGGAGACUAAGUAAUUUGCCUUUCUUGCCUCAUCCUCUCAAAUGCGAGCAACAGACUUCAGCUGCUCAGGAUUCAGACUCUCCGUUCCACUUCACUAGUGAUAUUAAUAACACCCCGAAUAGCGAAGAUGAGCAUUCGGAUGAACUGAUGAAGGACUUUCUUAACCUUUCUGGAGAUGCUUCGGAUGGUAGCUUCCAUGGAGAGAACUGCGACAGCAACAGCUUGGCUAUAACUGAGCAAAUGGAGCUGCAAAUUUUGUCGGAACAGCUUGGAAUAGCUAUCACAGACAAUGAAGAAAGUCCUCGAUUGGAUGUGAGUUUGUCGAUGCUUUCCAAUUUUUGUUUCCUUUUUUUUCAGUUUAUACAUUGAAAGUCACAGGCAAGAAUAGUAUCACCAGUGUGUUUCUUUUGGCUUGUAAUUGAGGAAGUCACAUAUUUUCAUACAUACACUUCAAGAGUUGGCAAAAUCAGAAAUACCUUUGUAUCUACUCAAGAAAAGAAAGCUUUAAAAGUAUCAUCAUGUAUGCCCUGAAAUUGCCUCUGUGCUUUUCUUAAAUGCCUUCUGGAAAGGGUAAUUUUUGGCACUUGUAGUAUCAUUACUAUGGCAUUUGUAAAAUUUCCAACUUUUGACUGGUAUGCGCAGAACUUUUCAUGCUGUUGAGGGGCACGGUUCAAAUUAUCUUAAUAUGUUGACCUAAAAAAAUCCCUUCACAGUAAGACUUGCCCUCUUAUGACUUCGAGUACCAACAUGUCAAUUACAAACCAAUUCGAUGGCCUAAAAUGAAAAUCUGAUUUACCUCUUGUUUGUUAUGUAUAGGAUAUAUAUGAGAAACCACAGAUUUCGCCUCAACCAGUGUCAUCUUGUCAGAACCAGAACCCUCAGCCUUCAGGAUCUCCUAUCAAAGUUCAGUUACAUUCCACUCCCUCCGCAUCUCGGGCCACAACUAAUAAUAAUAAACCAAGACUAAGGUGGACUUUGGACCUCCAUGAGCAUUUUGUAGAAGCUGUGAACAAGCUUGAUGGGCCCGACAGUAAGUUAAUUACUUUGGUUCAUUAGAAAUUAAUGCAUAUCAUUGUCUAUUUGUUCACUCAUCCCCUUUGUUUUUUUGCUUUGUUUUCUUUCAUGCAGAGGCAACCCCAAAGGGUGUACUGAAGCUUAUGAAUGUAGAGGGUUUGACCAUCUAUCAUGUAAAGAGUCACUUACAGGUAUUUCUACAGAAAUUGUUUUUCUUCCAUGGAGGAUUGAAAUUUUCUUAGAGAUUUAAUCCUGAUGAUAUCCUUUUAUAUGUGGGUGUGGCAUGCAGAAGUAUCGGCUCGCCAAAUAUCUUCCGGAGACAAAAGAAGGUAAAUACUCUAAAAAGGAAAUUCUGCUUAGGUAAAUAAACACAUGUUUACUGUUUAUUUUGGAAUCAGCUGUGUGUCUAGCUCCACAAACUUAAAGCUUGUCUUAAGUUCCCAGCCCGUGUCAAUGAACUAAUUAAAGCCCAGCCCUCUCAAACUACUAAUUCAGUUAGUAACUUGUAGAGUCAUACUGCUACUGUAUUUAUACAAGGUGAUUUGUAGUCGCAUGAAAACGAGCUCGAGUAUCCAAAGUCAGUGUUGGGCUUUUGCUAUUCCUCCAAUCUUUCUGUAGAAAUGAAUAGUUCCAACUUCAAACUAGGAUUUGUAAAUGUUAUUUAAAAUGAGUGAUGAUGUUCUACCAACUAGGACAAAUUAUUAUUAUUUUUCUUUUUUUUUUUCCAGUGAUUUGCUUUUAUUAGUUUGCUGUUAUUUCCGUUGGUGUUAGUUAAAAACAAAGUAAAACUAGUCUUGAAAUUCGGCAUGCUAAUAUGGUUGUUGGUUAUGAAUGCAUGUUCAUCAAGACAAGAAGUCUUUGCCUGUAGAAGAUAAGAAAGUGACACCAGUUACUAACGACAGCGGAGGGAAGAAAAAGUAAGCUGAUUCUCUCUCUCUCUCUCUCUCUCUCUCUCUCUCUCUGUGCAUGUGUGUGUGUUAGAUUUUUUGUUCUUUUUUCCCUUAUUUCCCUCCCUUUGGUAGGAACAUGGAAAUGACAGAAGCUCUUCGGAUGCAAAUUGAAGUUCAGAAACAGCUGCAUGAACAACUUGAGGUGAGUAUUACAUAUACCGAGCUGUAGCUGUGAACUUUGAGAUUUUUCAAAAUUUUGUUACCUAAGAUGCUAAGGUAUUACAUGUUUCUUUGUUUGAGCGGCAAAAUAAAAUGCUAAGUGUGCAAGUAAUUUACUAAUUUUCUGACAAAUGACAUUUCUCUGAUGCAACAUAAAAAAGAGGUAGGAUAACAGUAAUGUACAUCAAGAAAUAUAAAAAACUAAUAGUACAUUGAUUUGUUCCACUAGUGGCUGCCAUAUGUUGACAUAGUUGUUCACUCUCUGCUGUCAGAUACAGAGGGCACUUCAGUUACGCAUCGAAGAGCAUGCAAGAUACUUGCAGAAGAUCCUGGAAGAGCAGCAAAAGGCAAGCAAUUCCUUCGCCUCCUCAAUGGGAGUUUCUGCAGAAGCGCAGGUGGAGUCUCCCGACAAAACCUCACAAGAUCAAGAUGAAUCAAAGACAGACUCAGUUUCUUCACCGACCGCUCUGAAGCAUAGAAUUCCCGAAUCAGAUGGUGACUGCAAGCCACCGGAGGAUCAUAAACGGGCAAGACUUCAAGUUGAGCAAUGAGGAGCUUCUUCAUAGCCGCCAAUUCCGUGCCACGACAGCUUUGCAAUCCCACCUUAUUAAGGAAGUGACAGAACAUUCUAUGGACACGAUGUUGUUGUUCGAUGGAAUUAGUUUUCCAUCAGUGUAUAUAUAACUAAAAUUACGUGGGAAACGAAUCCGAGAGCUGAGGGUUAUAUUGCAUUCAUUGCUCUUUCUGUAUAUCGAAGGCUCAAUUCCCACUGCUGAGAUUGUUUCAUUUACAGUGAGAUUUCAAAUUUCAUCGGGACGAUAAUAUUCUGGUCGUUCACAUAGUUUAAAUAUAGGUAAAAAUGUACAGAAUAUAUCAGAACUAUAGAUUUUUUUUAAAUCAGUUAUUCAAUCCUCUGAAAUUUUGAUUUUAUUACUAAACUUUUCAAUAUGUUUGAUUUGAUUCAGCUUUGAUUCAGCCAAUGAUACCUUGAUUUAAAAUUUAAGCAAGUUACUUGGCUUAAUUAAUUUAUAGUUGUAAGAAUUAUAUAAGAAAUAUAUUAACUAAAUUUUUAAAAAUAACCGACACAUUCAAAUUUUCAAAAAAAAUUUUUUUUUUUGAGGAAAAAAAUUUAAAAUUUUGAAUUUUGAGUAAAAAAUAAUUUCAGAAUAACUCCUAAAAUUAUUCAACUAUAUAUCUUUUUAAAUCAUAUACCAAUAGAAAUGAACAUAAAUGGCUGAUUUAAAUUCGCAAAAUAUUUGUCGAACAUUUUUAAUUUUUUUUAAAAUGUUAAAAUUAUCCCAGCGUUACGCUCACCGCCCCGUAGGUGUAACCCCGGAGUUUUCCCAUGAAAUCUCCACGACAAAAAAUAUUUUGUGGGGAAACAGAUGUUACUGUCGGGGCGGUGAGCUUACCGAAGAUGACCAGACUCCCAACUCUUCUGCUUUGAACUAACCCAUCUAAAAUAUGGCCCGGCCCAAUCUAGGACCAAAUCUGGAUAUGAUACGGGCUAAAUCAAUUGACUACUUGACUCAAGUACAUGGGCUUUUACCCAGCCCAAAUACAUAAUUGAUAGGUGUCUUUUUUUGGAUUAGUUUGUUUAUUGCCGUAAAUUCAAAUAGGUUUUAAAUUUUAGUUUUGGCUUAAAUUUUAAAAUAAGAAAAUAUUUUAAAAUUUUGAAUUUUGAAUUUUGAAUAAAAAUAUUUUGAGAAUGACUCAUAAAAUUCGUUCUAUAUAUAUAAAUAAAAUUUUUAAAAUCAUAUAUUAAUAGAAAUGAAAAAAAAUUAUAAGAUAAACGGCUGAUUAAAAUUCACAAAUUAUUUGUCGAAAUUUUUUUAAAAAAAUUUAAUUAAAAUGACUAUUUUUGGGUUUCGUGCAUCUAUCUAAAGUGUGGCUAUGUGGCCCUCGACCACAGCGUUACGGUCACCGCCCCGUAAGUAUAACCACGCAGUUUUCUGAUGAAAACUCCACGAAAAAAAUUAUUUUGUGAUGAAACAGAUGAUAAGGCUUGGGGGGUGAGCUCACCGGAGGUGACCAGACUCCCAACUGCCUAGCAAAAUGUAGCCCGGCCCAAUAUGGGACUAAAUAUGGAUCGAGACGGGCCGAAUCUAUUGACUACUGGACUCAAUAAUGGGCCUUUACCCGGCCCAAUCGUUUUUUGGGUUCACUGGGCUAAUAAUGCCUUUGGAUGGAUCGGGUGUUUAUCAAAAUCCGAUGAAAUAAAAAAAAAAAAAAUCUAAUACAAAAAAAGUAAAACAUCAUGUCUCGGGUAUCUAAUGCUAUUUUAUCACACUUGAUAGUUUCUAUUUAUAUCAGAGGAAAACCAUGAUAAAAUGAACAAAAAUGUAUUGUUUGAUCCAGCAAUUUUUGUACACGGUGAGUUAAUGUAACUGCUGAGUAUUUACAUGAAUAUUCUUACACCAGUAAAUCGGCACUCUGUAGACAAAAAACUCGCACCGAACUAAAGACAAUCAAAAUUAGCAAUUUUUGGAAGACCCUGAUUUGCAAAAUUGUCAGUAGACAAGAAAUAGCCAUGUCUCAUGAGGGCAGUUGCAAGGAGUAUAAUAAUGUUUAUAAUGUCAUUGUGAAUCUUCUGAAGACAUCAGUUUAGCAACCCUUAUUCUCGCGGAGGCGCAUCUUCUGCAAAACAUAUACGUUGAUUAGGCACUAUCACAUAUUGAUACCGAUGUUGCUCAAUAUUAAAUCUUUACAUAGAAAAGGAAGAGAGAUUUUAAAAGUUUCGAGUAACUCACCGGCAGAUGUAGGAUCAACAUGUACGAAAAAACUGGCAGCUACAAUAAGAUAGCAAAGAAUGAGCAUUAAGCCCUUGAAGUAGUUAGAAGUUCCAUCCUGAAAUUAAAGUAAUACAAUAAUAUUAGACAUAUCAAAGUAUAAAGAUGAAAAUAGGUGCUUAAAUAUUGUGGAGGAGACAAGUGAAACAAACACUAGAAACUUCUUGUCUUAAAGCUAGCCAAAAUUGCUUAACAGAGCGGUGAAUUAUAACCGAGCAAAUUUCUUCUAUAGAACAAACAAAUAGUUACUGUUCUCCAUUGCGGAAAAUACUUUACAUUUUUGAAGAUCCUUAAAAUUAUACAUUAAAUAUGAAUGAACUUGUCGUUUCUCAUCUGUGGUAUACUACCUGUAGCAUGAAUGCCACAACUAUUACAGUUAUGAAGAGAGUGGCUGUCUCGAAAAGCUGAAAAUUUAAGUCCAUUGGUUGUCCCAUCAUCCACCCAAUUACUACACAGAACGGAAUCUGUGGAGCGAAAAUAUUUCACAGUAUUAAUCCUCAGUUAAAUCGAAUAAAAACUUAAAAAGUUGUGAAUUCAUGUACCCGUGGGGCCAGUAAAGACAAACUAAUGAAAUGACACCCAGUGAAAUGCUGGAUAAUCCAAAACGCAUUAUUUCAUUCUUACAAAUUAUUUGCACUCCAAAGAAGUUCGCCAAGAGAAGAUGCUACAUUUUCUAAAUGAUUGAAGAAAAAGAAAUGAGUUGAUAAACCUACCCCGAACAUUGAUAUUUGUGUAGAUGAUCCAAUUGCCACUCCGAGAGAAAUGUCCUGGUUGAAAAUUCCGAAGCCCUAGACUUAGGCAGACAACUCCAAGGAAAAUAUUUUAAAGACUCGUAAACUGAAGAGACUUACAAGUUUGUCUUUCAUUGCAAACAUUAUGGCGCUUGCAUGCUCUGCAGCAUUCCCCACAAUCGGAAGUAAAACAACACUAAUAAAAGCAACUGGUAUCCUCCAUGCAGUUGAGGCCCCCUGUGAUAUGCAACAUUUCAAAACAAUGCACGAAAAAUUUGAUGAAACCUUAACAAUAUAUGCAAAUACAUAAACUUAGUUGUUCUUGGCCUGUCUUUUAGAAUAGCUAUGGCAGGAAAUAACAGCACCCAGCCAGGCAUUCUGUCAACAAAAUUUGCGAGUUAAGGAAAAUUUUGAUUUGUUGCUACGGCUGUAUGUGCUUUAGUAGUCACUAAUAAGUGCUGACCUAAAGUGCUCGGUGUGGAAGCACUUACAAGUGGGGUGAUCUUUCGGCUUAGACUAUUUAAUUGCUCUUCUGAACACAUACUUUAUAGGCAAAGCCUCAUGUAAUUGUAACCAAGUUGAUGGACAACGUCUUGAUGACACCAUGCGUUAUGUAACUCGGAGGAAAACAACCAGAAAGAAGUUUGCAAAGUAUAAGUGACAAAGAAAGUGAGCAGAUAUAUUACCUCUAUAGCAUCAACUAAGUAUUCAGAGAGUACAGAAAUCCAAGCAGUCAAAACAGCAAGCCAGAUGAUCGCUUCCCAUUUCGAAAUCUCAGCACUUUCUUCGUCAUCUGCGCCCUGUUCAUUCGGACUUCCUCCCUUUCUCAAAUUCAGAGAACAUCAGUUAAAUUUCUAUAAAAUCAAAGUCAUACUAGAAAGUUCAAAAGAAGGAAGGCAAAUAAAUCACCAUUUUUUUAAGCUAGAAGAGCGCAAAUAGAUGCAUGCAACACAAAGAGUUUGUGUGUUGUUCUAACACGAUAGCUCCCACCAUUUAUUUAUAAUGCAAUAGUUUUCACUUUCCAGUGCAAAGGUAUGCUAGAUGAAAUUCAACAAUGAACUUCGAUUGCCGAGAUUCUUAAGAAAGUUAGCGUAUUCACUGUAAUUACAGCUGUUUAAAUCAUUUGAUCAAGAAAAGGCCUACCUCGUUAACUGGACAAUCUAAAUAUUCCUGACUUUUCAACUGGAAAAAGAGAUAGGAGGCGUAAGCCACAAGCAUAAUGCAGCUGCUGAAUCUUGACAAGGCUAAUUCGGACUUGCCAAACUGGACUUCAGUGUGGGUGUAGUGGAGGACAGCCGGAAAGAGUAAGCCCAUGACUGCCAUUAAAAGCAAUCCAGAGUUCAUUACAGCCGAUGCCUGCGCACAACAAUGUAAGCAAUCUAACCUUUCCAAGUGCUAUAUUUAAAAAAUGAAACUGAUAAUCAAGAAAUUAACGAGUACCUUAUUGAAAACUUGCUCCUUUUUAUCGAUGAAAACAAUCCCUCCACUAAAGAAUGCACAGCCAAGGACCAGAAGCAUGUUUGACAAGAUAGAUCCAAGUAAUGAUUGCUGGACUACUCGCAACAUUCCGUUUCUCAGAGCAUGGAUUGAUAUGAUCAAUUCUGUUGCGUUUCCGAAGGUAGCAUUUAGGAGGCCACCAACUGCAUGCGCAAAAUGGCAGUCUUCAGCAAUACUGCUGGACUUGCAAUGACUAAUAAUUUCCUUUAAUACUACGAUGGUACAUUGCCCAAAGUGAGUCCCACAAAGCAGGGCUGGUUGCAACUUUAAAGAUAAGUAGUACGAUAAUAUUUUCUAGUUUCAGAUAGAUAUAUUUAAAUACCACAAGCAGGGCAUGGAAUUGGAUUUGGAAUGUUUGCCUCGCAUUCUGAUUGUUUGGUCAGAACAAGGUAAAAGAGUAAUUUUAUCUCCCGAUUUUGAGUCCACUCAAUAUGAUCCAAAGCAUCCAAGAUGAAUGACACAAUAUGUAGUCCUUAAUAUAAGAUUCCACUAAAUAGAGAUAAAUUUAAUCCGAGGAAAGAUAAUGCCGAACCUGUUGGUCCUGUAAAGAGUGCUAGUUGCCUACAAAACAGCAAACAACAUCAGGUUUAACCAUGCUGCCCAUAUGAAAAGAGAACUGAUCUGCAAAGCCAAGAACACAAAAAUAGGUGAAAGCAAAGGAAACAGACUCCUUACUCCGUGGCAAAUCCCAGCCGCUCUGCAAAAGGAAUGAUACCUAGCAAGCUGAGGAAAAACACCCAUCCCUAUGUAUUAAAAGCCGCAUGUCAAAAAAACGAAAAAAAAGAAAAGAAAAGAAGAGAGAACUAAAAUGUACAACAUAGAGAUACAAUACACUGGGACAUAAAAACAACCAUAGCUUAGUAAGCUCACAUGGUCACCAGUAAUGUAGUUGAUCAAGACCGCAAUAAGGCCGCAAGGCAUCAACAUAUUAAUCUUUGCUGUAAACAAUACGAUCUUCAAGCUCCUGAAAAAUCUAGCCUUCAGAUAUUCGACGGUGCACUCUUGUUUGUCGACAGAAAAAGAGUUACGGUGGGUUCCCUCAAAACCAGAAGGCUUUCUGGAGUGCGCCACCGGGCUAACGAGGCUUUCAUCCUCAAACUCAUCUAACCUUCCGUCCAGCGAAACUAUCUGCUCUAUAAAGCAAUCAAUGAAACCAAAAGCAGUAAAUAAGCCUUCAAAGAAUACGAACCGAGCGACGGCAUAAUACAAGCAUACAAAUACAUUCUUUUACUGUUUGUAACAGUUUGAACAUGCAGGGAGAUGAAAUAACAGCGGUUGAUGUAUGCAAAUUACGUUGAAAUAAGCAUAACGAACACUUACUUCCGGAUUAGAGCGCAGUGUAGCCAUCUGGGUCUUUUGAUUUAUCUUCUCCAUCUCCAUAAGACGAGCAUCCUGAAAUGCAAUUCUAAGGAUCAGCGGAUCUGAACACGAAUUUGAAAUGUCGGACAUCAUUGCUGGCUACUGAAUUGAGAUGAAAAAUAACAUUUCUACGUAAAAUCAGAAAUCUUAAUGGCAUUGACAAGUUUUGGUAACAUAUUUGUACACCUUUUCUUCCUAAUAGAUAUUAAUCCUUUUAGGUGUUUGCGAAAAAACAGAAGCCAAAGUCAACGUCCAAUUCUUAUUAUUGAAUCGUCCUUUCGUAUGUAUUUAAACACCCAAAAUUGGAUUGGAUAUGACAGAAUGACACAUAAAUGUCGUGGAAUCAGAAGGAUUUAGUGACACAGAGGCAUUUGUUCAGAGACAUAUGUGGGGAUAAGUCAUCACGCUACGAUGGGAUUAGAUUCAAAAUUUCUCGUUGCAUCCCAACUAAUCUAACCCUAAUCCUAUCCCUCUUUGCUAAAUUAUAUAAAAGGAUCGUUGUUUUCCAAAAAUUUAACCUACUAAAGAACAGUAUUUUUAAUAUUUACAUUCAAUUCAACAACUUCAGAUUCAUGGAAUUCGUCCUCUUUUCGAGCAUAGUUUUUGUUUUCAGUCAUCAUUUUACACUAUCUGAUCCAAUCUUAGACGACAAACAGGCUCUCGGAGAUCUAAAAGACAAAUUAUUCCUUAAAUCGAAUAAAACUAAAGCGGACCGAAUUCUCGCUACGCGAUUAAACCAUGAAAAUAAAGCUUCGAGAAAUCAAUCGAGAAAAAGAAAGCGAAAGAAAUUACCCGCCGAUUCCGACGCUGCAAUCACAAUGAUGUAGUAAUAGAGAAAUUCAUGAGGAAGAAGAAGAAGAAGAAGAAGAAGAAGAAGAAGAAGAAGAGAAGGAGGAGGGUAAUUUGGGAAAUUCGCGUUCGCUGCUUCGCUCGUGGGAUGCGGUGGUGGUGGUGGUGAGGAAUGGUGUGAUCGAUGAGAGAGAGAGAGAGAGAGAGNGUUUUUUUUUUUUUUUUUUUUUCAGUUAAAGUUUGGUUGUUUUUUUUAUUUGUUUUUUUUUAUUUGUUUUGUUUUGGCCCGCUUUAACGGUCUUUCGUACGACAGGCGCGUUUCUCGGACGGAGGGAACAACGGUUUUCCACAAUUUUUUUUAGUAGAUAAAAAAAAUAUAAAAUUUAUCUGAACUAAUAUAACAUUUUGAUGGUGUUACUAAUUUUUAAAAAUUUUAAUUUUACAAUAAAUUUUUCAAUUUGUAUGAUUAGAGUCGAUCAAUAAUAUUUUGACUUUAAUAUGUAAGCUAAUUACUCACUUCAAUAAAUUUAUAAUUGUGAGAAUUACAUAAAAUAUAGUAACUAAACAUAUAUUGAUAAUCGGCACAUAAAUUUUGACGUCAAAGUAUCAUUGACCGACUCAAAUCAAAAAAAUUGAAAAGUUAGACAGUAAAAUCAAAAUUUUAAAAUGUUAGAUUGCUGAACCAAAAUGGUCUGAAUAAUUUUUGUAUAUUUACCCUUUUUUUUCUUAUAUCCGACUCAAUUUACUAUUUUUUUUUAGUCCAAUAUCCUAUAAUUUUGGUUGUUUUACUUAUAUUUUCUUAUUUUUAUUUUUGCUUUCUCACUACAACAAAAUUAGGUUAUAGGGACACAUGUUUGAGACACUUUUGAGUAAGUGUCCCAUUUAUGCUAAAACUUAAAAAAACAUCUACUAAUGCCUAAAUAUAAAGUCCAAUCCAACUAAAAAUAAAAGAUUACUCUACUCAACCCACCACACCCAGUCCAUUUGGCCCGAUUACAAACAGAAAAGAAAAAAAAAAGAAAAAUUAAUUACCAUCUUUUCUUCUCUCUUCACUCAAUCUACUGAAAUUCUAAACGAAGAGCCUUUCCUGUCGGCCUCCUUCGCCACCGCAGCCAACGAGAUAGAGUUUCGGCGGUUGCUAAAUGCUUAAAUAAGCGUUGGUAAAUUAGCAGCACUCUUUUCGAUUAUAGCGACACUCUUUAACUGUCACUAUAUACUUAGCGACCCCACAUAUAGCAACACUUUUUAAAAGUAUCGGUAAUUUUAGCUAGCAGCACUUUUUUGACAUGUACCUACAUUUAAAAGUGUCGCUAUAGACCGUUUUUGUUGUAGUGUCUAUUACACAUUUUAUUAACUUUUGUGUUAAAACCAUC